rnacentral:rRNA from 1 species
GGGCUCGCAGGCGGUUUCUUAAGUCUGAUGUGAAAGCCCCCGGCUCAACCGGGGAGGGUCAUUGGAAACUGGGAAACUUGAGUGCAGAAGAGGAGAGUGGAAUUCCACGUGUAGCGGUGAAAUGCGUAGAGAUGUGGAGGAACACCAGUGGCGAAGGCGACUCUCUGGUCUGUAACUGACGCUGAGGAGCGAAAGCGUGGGGAGCGAACAGGAUUAGAUACCCUGGUAGUCCACGCCGUAAACGAUGAGUGCUAAGUGUUAGGGGGUUUCCGCCCCUUAGUGCUGCAGCUAACGCAUUAAGCACUCCGCCUGGGGAGUACGGUCGCAAGACUGAAACUCAAAGGAAUUGACGGGGGCCCGCACAAGCGGUGGAGCAUGUGGUUUAAUUCGAAGCAACGCGAAGAACCUUACCAGGUCUUGACAUCCUCUGACAACCCUAGAGAUAGGGCUUUCCCUUCGGGGACAGAGUGACAGGUGGUGCAUGGUUGUCGUCAGCUCGUGUCGUGAGAUGUUGGGUUAAGUCCCGCAACGAGCGCAACCCUUGAUCUUAGUUGCCAGCAU